rnacentral:sRNA from 1 species
CCAAAACACUAAACAAGCUUCUUCUUGCUUCUCAAAGCUUUGAUGGUAUAGUCGAAAUCCGUAUGAGUCUUUGGAUUUGUAUCUUCUAACAAGGAAACAGCU